GUUCGCGGGGGGCUUGGAACAAGUUACAUAAUGUUUGUUGUUAUAUGAAGUAUCUCGUAUGCAACUGUUUUAUCCAACAUGGAAGCUUUCCAAGGCGCGAAAUUUCCAUCAUUACCGAAUUGUGGAUAAAAUAAAUUGUUUUUUACAAUAAAAACCAAGGUAUUUUGCUUGUUAAUUAUCGACUAUAUUAUUCACUUUGAUAUAAACAGCGUAACAUAAUGUGAAGUACUGAAUAACAUUGGUUAAAUUUUUGUUUUACAAUAUAAAUUGAAAACUGAAAUUCAAGGGUAAAACACCGUUUAUUUAGAUAAAGCGACUUCAAAAAGUAAUACAUAAACCUAGACAGUACUAUGUGAUGUCGAAAGUAUCGAGCAGUCGUAGGGAAAGUGGAGAGAACACAAGCACUCCAGUAGUAAAGAAGAGGUCAAAUAUCAAGCCGACAGCGACAGCUUAUUUACAAGUUUUUGGCAGUGGUGGUGGUGACACUAGCCCAUCGGUGUUUUUAUUUGCUGAUUCACAAAGGUAUGUGUCUUUUAAAUGAGGCGAAGCUACCCGGGUAUCAGAAUA